rnacentral:rRNA from 1 species
GUCUGAUUAGCUUGUUGGCGGGGUAACGGCCCACCAAGGCAACGAUCAGUAGGGGUUCUGAGAGGAAGGUCCCCCACAUUGGAACUGAGACACGGUCCAAACUCCUACGGGAGGCAGCAGUGAGGAAUAUUGGUCAAUGGACGAGAGUCUGAACCAGCCAAGUAGCGUGCAGGAAGACGGCCCUAUGGGUUGUAAACUGCUUUUAUAAGGGAAUAAAGUGAGAGUCGUGACUCUUUUUGCAUGUACCUUAUGAAUAAGGACCGGCUAAUUCCGUGCCAGCAGCCGCGGUAAUACGUAAGGUCCGGGCGUUAUCCGGAUUUAUUGGGUUUAAAGGGAGCGUAGGCCGGAGAUUAAGCGUGUUGUGAAAUGUAGACGCUCAACGUCUGCACUGCAGCGCGAACUGGUUUCCUUGAGUACGCACAAAGUGGGCGGAAUUCGUGGUGUAGCGGUGAAAUGCUUAGAUAUCACGAAGAACUCCGAUUGCGAAGGCAGCUCACUGGAGCGCAACUGACGCUGAAGCUCGAAAGUGCGGGUAUCGAACAGGAUUAGAUACCCUGGUAGUCCGCACGGUAAACGAUGGAUGCCCGCUGUUGGUCUGAAUAGGUCAGCGGCCAAGCGAAAGCAUUAAGCAUCCCACCUGGGGAGUACGCCGGCAACGGUGAAACUCAAAGGAAUUGACGGGGGCCCGCACAAGCGGAAGAACAUGUGGUUUAAUUCGAUGAUACGCGAGGAGCCUUACCCGGGCUUGAAUUGCAGAGGAAGGAUUUGGAGACAAUGACGCCCCUCGGGGCCUCUGUGAAGGUGCUGCAUGGUUGUCGUCAGCUCGUGCCGUGAGGUGUCGGCUUAAGUGCCAUAACGAGCGCAACCCCUCUCCUUAGUUGCCAUCAGGUUAAGCUGGGCACUCUGGGGACACUGCCACCGUAAGGUGUGAGGAAGGUGGGGAUGACGUCAAAUCAGCACGGCCCUUACGUCCGGGGCUACACACGUGUUACAAUGGCAGGUACAGAGAGACGGUCCCUUGCAAAACGGAUCAAAUCCUUAAAGCCUGUCUCAGUUCGGACUGGGGUCUGCAACCCGACCCCACGAAGCUGGAUUCGCUAGUAAUCGCGCAUCAGCCAUGGCGCGGUGAAUACGUUCCCGGGCCUUGUACACACCGCCCGUCAAGCAUGAAAGCCGGGGGCGCCUAAAGUCCGUGACCGUAAGGAGCGGCCUAGGGCGAAACUGGUAAUUGGGGCUAAGUCGUAACAAGGUA